AACGAAGUUAGGAAGAUUGCUUCUGAUACUUAGUGGCGGACGGGUGAGUAAUGCUUAGGAAUCUGCCUAGUAGUGGGGGAUAACUUGGGGAAACCCAAGCUAAUACCGCAUACGACCUACGGGUGAAAGGGGGCGCAAGCUCUCGCUAUUAGAUGAGCCUAAGUCGGAUUAGCUAGUUGGUGGGGUAAAGGCCUACCAAGGCGACGAUCUGUAGCUGGUCUGAGAGGAUGAUCAGCCACACUGGGACUGAGACACGGCCCAGACUCCUACGGGAGGCAGCAGUGGGGAAUAUUGGACAAUGGGCGAAAGCCUGAUCCAGCCAUGCCGCGUGUGCGAAGAAGGCCUUUGCGUUGUAAAGCACUUUAAGUGGGGAGGAAAAGCUUAUGUUUAAUACCCAUAAGCCCUGACGUUACCCACAGAAUAAGC
rnacentral:rRNA from 1 species